rnacentral:rRNA from 1 species
UACAGAGGUCUCAAGCGUUGUUCGGAUUCAUUGGGCGUAAAGGGUGCGUAGGCGGCGGGGCAAGUCGGAUGUGAAAUCUCAGGGCUCAACCCUGAAACUGCAUUUGAUACUGCCUUGCUCGAGGACUGGAGAGGAGAUUGGAAUUCACGGUGUAGCAGUGAAAUGCGUAGAUAUCGUGAGGAAGACCAGUGGCGAAGGCGGAUCUCUGGACAGCUCCUGACGCUGAGGCACGAAGGCCAGGGGAGCAAACGGG